AGAUUAGUCGCUCUUGGGCGCUCUCCCAGUACCUUAUGGGAGGGACAUUGUGUUUCCAGUUGGAGAUCCCAUAGGGAGUUUGCAUGGAGACGUGCAGUUUUGGAGGAGUAACAGAAUUUAUGAGCAGGACUCAUUGUGAGAGAAUAAUCCCAGAUUUUUCAGAGGAAUGUAAAAGAAACGAAACAUUUUCAUCAGGUAGAAGUUGCUCAGAUUCUACUUAAGCAUGGAAGACGGAUGGAAGGUGAACAUAAUUCAUAGAAAUUCAAUGGAAUGAUUGGUGGCGCUGCCAGACACGAACUGCUGCAGCUCCUGGCUGGAUUGGGGACAGGGCAAGAAGAGGAACACAGUGGUGGUGAAAC
rnacentral:lncRNA from 1 species